rnacentral:lncRNA from 1 species
GUUUCUGAGCCCAUAAAUGAUUAACCUUGUUUUUUUUUUUCUUUGAGAAUGGGUCUCGCUAUGUAGCUCAGGCUGACCUCAAACUUGCAGCGAUCCUCCUGCCUCAGCCUCCAAGUGCUGGGAUGACAAGUGUGUUUUUUUCGGCUGACUUUUUUUUUUUUUUGGUACCAGGGAUUGAACUCAGGUCCUUGCACUUGUGCAGCAGGUGGCGAAACCACUGAGCUAAAUCCCCGGGCUUCGGCUGACCUUUUUAAAAAGUUUGAUGCCUGAUCAUAUUCCAUGAAACCUUUGAAUACUUUUUUUUGGGUACCAGGUAUCAAACUCAGGACCUUGGCUUUUGAAGCAGGAAGCAGCACCACUGAGCUACAUUCCUGGCCCAAACCUUUAAAUACUUUAAGGAGUGAUUACUCCACCUCCUAAGUACCAUCCACACCCAGGUAAGCCCAGGUUAAAGGAAGGACAGGUAGACAGGGAGGAUCCAGAACGGGGAUGGGAAAUAAGCACCCCAAGGUCGCCCAGGAUGUGGCUUCUCUUGUGACCCAGGAAGAUGUGCGACCCGGGAUCCACACAGCGAUGGAGCAGCAGGCGAGGACCCCUCAUCAGCGCUGGCCGCUGGGCGCCUCCUUGCCCAAGCUCCUGCUGCCGCCCACUGUGGGCUGCCGGUCUUCUCAGGGCUGCUAUAACAAAUCACUGUCGCUGGUGGCUUACGAUAGCAGAGCAGGAUAAUCCCGAGAUUCUUGCUCCCAGCACAGAUUCGCGAGGGGAAGGAAUGAGUUUAGCCAAGACCAACAGGAAGCUGGACGGCCGCCCCAUGGCCAGGAGAAGCCAGGGGUUUCACCCCAGCUCCCUCUGCGCCUGUUGGCGCUGCUCCCCAGCCCACUGAACACGCCUACUUUGGAUUGCUGUGAACACGACCACCGUUCACCACUGGCCCGCCUGGCGACUGCCUCUCCAC